rnacentral:piRNA from 1 species
UUUUAAUAUAUGUCUAUAGGGGCCGUUUU